rnacentral:lncRNA from 1 species
AAAUAUGAAAUUUUAUUAAAAGAAAAAGGGGUGAAAAGAACAAAGUUUGGUCCAUCUUUGUUCAUCAUAGCCGAAAGUUAGAGAAGAGAAAGGAGAGGAGAAAGCUCUUGAAUGUUAGGUCACUUGGGGAAGAAAAUUGAAGGCGGUUCGUGUGUGGAUCUCGUCAGCAUAUCGUCGCAAACAGGUGUGUAACUAACACCCUCUUAUAGACUAGAUCGGCACAAGCCGACAAGUCGAAAUGCCAGUAUUUUGAGAUCUUCCGAGUGUGUGAAUGCUCAUGAGAUUAAUAGUUUGAUGUAUAUGGUAAAUUAAAGUGAUAAGACUGCAAAGUGCGCGAUUCUGUGCAUUUUGAUAUUUUUGUGCUUAAUGGGCCAAAACGGGAUAAGGGGCCAAGGGGCCCAAAUUGGUAAGAAAACAAGAUAAGUGUUUCCGAUCAUACGUAAAUGGCUAUGUUAUGUAUGAAAACCUUAAGAAUAGUUAAAUUACUUGAAUACCCCUAUGUAUGCAAAAUUACCAUUAUACCCCUAGGGUUACUUUUGACUGAAAAGCAUGACGAUCUGAUUCUGUACGAUGUAUGCCAUGAUUAUAUAUCUGUUGCAUGUGGACUUGGGUUAUACUAUGGAGGAAGCGUCCUGGUGGCCAUGCCACAAUUAUCUGAUCUGGUGGCUCUGCCACAUAUAUCUGUCCUGGUGGCUAUGCCACAAUUAUCUAAUCUAGUGGCUCAGCCACAUAUAUCUGUCCUGGUGGCUACGCCACAAUUAUCUGAUCUGGUGGCUCUGCCACAUAUAUCUGUUCUGGUGGCUCUGCCACAAUAUCUGUAUCUGGUGACUUCGUCACAAUAUCUGGCAGCCUCGCUGCGAUUUCUAUGGUGUGUAGCGGUUGGGUGGGUCGAGUAGUCUCCCCACAUUGCGUAAGGCUGGUACGAGGGUGUUAUGGAUGAAUCUGGGUUGGGUUUCUGUAUAAACAUGUAAUAUCUGUUCUGUUCUGUUAUAGGCCUAUGGGCUUUAUUCUGAAUUCUGUUCUAGGCUAAGGCCAACUUAUUCUAUUUCUGUGGUUUGAGCUAAUAUAGGCUAUGGUUGGGUUAAUUUGCACACUGAGUUUCCCCAAACUCACCCCUUUUAUUUUCAUCCACGUAGGUAAUCCCAAACCAUAGUGGGCCCCAACCAUAGUGGGCUUGGAGCUGUGAAGGAAUUUGAAGUGGCCACCUAUUCUGAAAGUUUGAUUUUCUUCUGGUGAACUGUACAUCCUUUUAUUUACAUUUGAAGUUUUGGGCUUUUAAGUUGUAAUAUGGCCGCUUAAUUAUUUUUGAUGGUUUUAAUAUGUAUUACUAAGAUAUGUAUUAUGUAUUUUAACUGUUGAAAUUGGAUAACUUUAGGGCGCAUUUUCAAAAACAACAAUUGAUUUGAAAAUAACAAGACAACAAGCAAAGCUUCCGCAAUAAAAGUAUUUUCUAAAAGUAAUCACUUUUCCUAAAAAUGACUUAAACAAAUCGGUUUCCUAGAAAUAUCCAUGACGUUAAGGUGUGGCAAUGGCAGUAUGCAUGUCUAAGAUUGGAUCCAAAGGGAGCGUGGUACUUAAGCAAUCCGAUGGACUCACCACCUCUUUUCCGGUUUCCUACCUGGUGCACAGCUUCCAUUCACUUUAACCUAUAAUGAAAUUAUCUUUUAAAACACUAAGUAAAUUUUUUUAGAUCAACAAUAUAAAAUGUUUUGAACGCUUCGAUGUGGCAUGUCAGAUCCGGUCAUAACGUCUGGGCCGGGUUUGGGGUGUUACAUUUAGUGGUAUCAGAGCCUAGGUUGCAACAACUCAGCUAUGGAAUGGGUUUACAAAAACAAAGAUUUUCGAAAGCGAAAAUUUUAUAAAGAAUGCGAAAAACUCGAUUUUCAAAAUUUAGAUCUUUAGAAGGUGACAUUCCGAAUCUCCGGCUCAAGUCUGUAAGUAUUCUAAAUUUUUCUGAAUAUUUUCCUGAAUUAUCUGUCUGUACUAAAAUCCUGCUAGGAUACUCUAGAUAAGAUGAUACUGAAACCAUAGGAAAAUCUGACAAGAGACUGAAACUGUAGCUAGACUUAGAUUCUGCGAAAACAAACUCUGAACUACUGUCUCAUUCAUAAAACAUCUGUAAUAAACACUGGAAUAUUGGAUUGAUGCAUAAAAAUUUGUAAUCAAGAUAAUAAGAUAUGAGUACAAGAGCUACUCGUGGAAGAGGUUGUGGACGUGGCCGAGGAAGGGCUCGAGCGGUAUAUUCAUCUUCGGGACAUAUGUCCGCGGCAGAUGCACCGGUACCAUCAGUAACAGAAUUGGAGUCUCAUGAUCGUGGUGCCGGGGCUGAUGCCCUGUCACAGGCAAUGCUUCGUGUUCUAAAAAGGGUUGCUGGGGCAAGUACGGGCAAUGGAGUUCGGGGAUCUAUUUCUGAAUGACUUCGGGCUAACAGAGCGGAGAUUUUUAGGGGCGUGUCUGGUAUAGCCCCGAAUGUGGCAGAAUAUUGGUUGGAGGCCACAGAACGGAUUAUGGAUGACUUGGACUGCUCUAUAGAGCAGAAGCUGAAGGGAGCCGUAUCGUUGCUGCUGGACAAGGCCUAUCAGUGGUAGCUCACUGCUAGAGAAGGGACCCCAGCUGAUAGGGUAACUUGGGAACUGUAUGUUGGGGUGAGUUAUGUGGACGCUCGCAGAAAGGAAUUCUUGAAUCUUGUACAAGGAGGUAAAACAGUUGUUGAGUACGAGGCCGAAUUUCUGAGGCUGAGCCGGUAUGCCGUGGGCAUAGUCGCUAGGAAAUAUGAACGAAUUGUGCGCUUCGAGGAUGGUCUUAGAGAUGACCUUAGGGUGUUGAUUGCUCCACAGAGGGAGCGGGACUUUGCGGUUUUGGUGGGGAAGGCUAAGAUAGCUGAAGAGGUAAAGCGUGCUGAAAAGCAGAAUCGGGAGAAGGAUCGAAACCAUUUCUGGAGGGAUUCAGGACCCUCGAGUGGUGUUAAUAGGAAUGUUAAGAGAGCAAGAGUGGAGGAACCAGUUCGAGCAGUGCCGAUGAAUGUUGUUAGACCACAAAUCUGUGGAGAUUGUGGUAAGGUACAUUUGGGUGAGUGUAGGAAACGUUCCGGUGCUUGUUUUCGAUACGGAUCUAUAGAGCAUAGAGUUAAGGACUUUCCACAGAGAGCUGAUCAGAUUCAAGUUGCUCAACCCGUAAGAGGUGGACCACAACCACCGAGAGGACGUGGACAAGGUAGGGGCAAAAAUAGAAAUGGUCAAGGACGAGGGGCUCCUGGUAAGGUUGCUGGGAAUGCUGAAGCUUAACAGCCAACAUUGGUGUAUGCAGCUCACCGUCGAGAAGAGGGCAAUGCACCCGAUGUGACAUCCCUAAACUGACCCUAGUCAGAAAGUGGUUUCGGGACCACGAAAUCGAGCCCUAUAAGAAAUUAAAAGAUAUAUUCCAUGUUUAUAAUGUGAGUAAAUGCAUGUGUGAAAGUUUCAUGCAUUAAUUUGAUUAUUUUUAUGUGAAUUUAGUUAAAAAGGACUUAUGUGAAAAAUAUUAAAAUUGUGGUAGGUUGAAGUGUAGUGGUCAAAUAUUGCAUGGCUUAAAAUAUGGGGAUUUGCAUGUCAAAUUCCCCAUUUUUAUGUAAGUGGCCGGCCAUGCUUUGAAUGGAAUUAUUGUUUUUUUUGUAUUUUAAUUGUAAAAUAAAGCUUAGUGGAAUGUUAUUAUAAUGGUGAAUUAAAUAAUAAAAGAAUUUGGUGAAAAGAACAAGGUAGCUCUUUUGUGUUCUUUUUAGCCAAAAAUCAAAUAAGAGAGGGGAGAAAAGUCUAAAACCAUUCGGCACUUUGAUAUUCUUCAUGAGGUGAGUUUCUUGAUUAAAAUUUGAUGGAAAUUUGAUGUUUUUGGGAUGGAUGUUAAGCUAGUUAGGCAACCAAAGGUUCAAUAUUUUUUUGUUAUGUGGUUAUAUGUGCAUUUCGGCCAUGGUCUUUGCUUGAAUUUGAGAUUUGUAAUGUGAUUUUCCUAAAUUGUCUAUGAAUUUUUGGUUGUUAAUUUCAUGGUAAUGGUAUAUUGAAUCCAUGAUUUGAAUCCAUGAAAAUUUAGUAAGGUUGCAUUCGGCAACUUGCUUGGAAUUAUGAAAUGAUGUCCAAAAUUUGUAAUUCAUGCUUAAAUAUUGAAAUAGAGCUUACAAUUAAUAGAACCAUGUAAUAAUUGAGGAUUUUAUGUGUUAAAUUUUGGAUGUUGGAGUUUUAGCUUUGAAAUAGUUGUUAGAUGAGUUAUAAAGUACUAAAAAAUGGAAAGAGAAAGAGCUUAAGGCAUGGUUAGUAUUCGGCCAUGAUGAGAAGUAAGAAAAUGAAUGUUGUGGUUGAGAUGAUUGAGGUGGUGAUCUCGAAGCUAAGUGAUUAUCGGCUAGGGUGUUAUGUAUAUUUAAGUGCCGAGUGUGGACAAAAACAUUUAGUAGAAUAAUUGUUAAUUAUAUGCUUGAGUGUACGGUUUGUAAGAAGUAAAUUUAUGGAUAAGCUUGAUAGAUGUUGUUGAGGCUAAUUUAAGAGCUUUGUGGCAUAUAAUCCUUAGAAAAAUUAUGUUUGUGGUUAUAAAAGAUUUUGGGCAUUCGGCUACUCGAGGAAAGAUGAGAGACAUGCUUAUAUGCUUAUAUGCGUAUUACCUAACAAGAUUGUGAAUAAUAAUACUAAUAAAAUAGUUUGUAAGUAACUAAUAAGGGUUUUUGACAUAGAUACUUGUAAAUAAGACAAAUGCUACAUAUUUGGAACCCUUACAUGGUAUUUCGGCUUUAGUUAAUUAUUUUAGAAAUUGAAGCUAAAUGUUAUAAGGAAUAAGUGUAUUUCUUGCUAACCGAAUUAUAAUAUAAUCGAAUGUGGUUUUACACAAUAGUGAUGUGAUAAGUUUAAAUUUGGUUCAUUAGCUCAAGAACUCAAGGAAACAAAGUCGGAUCGUGGAAAAAGGGAAAUUGGUCGAAUAGUCGGAAUUGACGUACAUUAGCGAUCGAGGUAAGUUUUAAGUAUUAAAGCCUAUAAUGUGAUUGAGUAUGAUAUGUUAAGCACAUAUUAAAAGAAUCAUAACUCUAUUGUAAAUUUUUAUGCAUAUAGCCUAAUGGCUAUUAUGAAGUAUAGGUAAGUUAUUGAUAUGAUAUGUUGCCAAAUGGAUAUGAUAUUAUGAAGUGCUAAAAGGAUAUGUCAGAAGAGUAAAUUUGUGAUAAACCUGCUUAGGACAGCAGCAGUAACAUGAAUUUAGAAAAAUCACCAUAAAUUGUUGGAGUUGAAUUAGAGGCUGAAUAAAUUAUGAAAUUAAAGCUUAAUGAGUCUAUUUUCUUAUAAAAGAAACCGUGUAAGAAAAUUUAUUUUCGAUAAUGAGAUAUUUAAAGUUGUGUGAGACAGUGCAGAAUGACACUGUAAUCCUCUGUUCUUUUUUUAGAAAAUCAUUAUAAAUUGUACAAAAAUUUUUUAAAAGACAAAAUUUAUAUUCUAGAUUACUUAGUGAGUCUAGUUUCAAAUGAAAUAAACAAGAACAUAUUUUGAAUUUUGUACAAUGAGAAAUUUGAUUUGUAGUGAAGAGUGGUCAGAAUAGUCAAACAGUGAAAUAGGGGAAACUUUAAGAAAAAUCUGGUAUUGAUUGGCCAAACCUAAAAUUCUGGAAAUUUUAUGGAUGGAAGAUAUACGAGUCUAUAUUCAGGAAAAAUUAACGGCAAGUGAUUUGGAGUUUUGUAGCUCCGGUUAUAAAUAAUUUAGUGACCAUUGCUCAGGAAAACAGCUCGUAGUGAAUAUGUGAUUUUCUUGUAAACAUGGAUAAAACUUGUUUUAGUUGCUCAUAAGCUAUUGAUUAAACCCAUACUUGAAUUCUAAAUCGUGAUAUUGUAAGCUUAUGAGUAUUCGAAUAUGAAAUGAUAGUAUGGCGUAAAAUUGAAUUAUUCAUUGGAAAGUGAUGGAUGUAGAUUCGGCCAAGACCAAGUCUGUACAUGAUAGUAUAUGUGGUAUGUGAAGUAUAUUUGAAUAAAUGUGAAAGUGUAUAUAUGUGAUAAGGCCUAAUGGCCGAUGUGAUGAAUGUGAAAGUGUAUAUAUGUGAUAAGGCCUAAUGGCCGAUGUGAUGAAUGUGAAAGUGUAUAUAUGUGAUAAGGCCUAAUAGCCGAUGUGAUGAAUGUGAAAGUGUAUAUAUGUGAUAAGGCCUAAUGGCCGAUGUGAUGAAUGUGAAAGUGUAUAUAUGUGAUAAGGCCUAAUAGCCGAUGUGAUGAAUGUGAAAGUGUAUAUAUAUGUGAUAAGGCCUAAUAGUCGAUGUGAUGAAUGUGAAAGUGUAUAUAUGUGAUAAGGCCUAAUGGCCGAUGUGAUGAAUGUGAAAGUGUAUAUAUGUGAUAAGGCCUAAUAGCCGAUGUGAUGAAUGUGAAAGUGUAUAUAUGUGAUAAGGCCUAAUGGCCGAUGUGAUGAAUGUGAAAGUGUAUAUAUGUGAUAAGGCCUAAUAGCCGAUGUGAUGAAUGUGAAAGUGUAUAUAUGUGAUUAGGCCUAAUGGCCGAUGUGAUGAAUGUGAAAGUGUAUAUAUGUGAUAAGGUCUAAUAGCCGAUGUGAUGAAUGUGAAAGUGUAUAUAUAUGUGAUAAGGCCUAAUGGCCGAUGUGAUGAAUGUGAAAGUAUAUAUGUGAUAAGGCCUAAUGGCCGAUGUGAUGAAUGUGAAAGUGUAUAUUUGUGACAGGGCCGAGUGGCCAACGUGAUGGAUGUGAAAGUGUAUAAAUGUGAUAAGUCCCGAAGGGCAUUUGUGUCAGUACUAUAUCCGGGUUAAAACCCCGCAGGCUUUAUGCGAGAAUAUUAUCACUGAUUAAUGUCCGUAAGCUUCGUGCUCGUACUAUAUCCGAGCUCUAAAGACCCGAUGACUACGUGUGGAGAUUAUGUCCGGGUAAGACCCGAUGACUACGUGUGGAGAUUUUGUCCGGGUAAGACCCGAUAACUUCGUGUGGAGAUUUCGUCUGAGCCAAAGGUCUCACCGAUAAUCCGAGUAGAGGUUAAAGCUAUAAGACUUCGUAAUAAGAAUUGCUUAUAAAUAUGUUUAAUGCGAAAGGUUAAACAGGUAUGUACUCCAUGUUUAUAUGUGAGCUUGAUUUGAACUAAAUCAUAAGGUAGUUAUGUGAUGCAUACGAGAGCAAUCUAUGAGACUAUUCCUAUGAUUAUGUGACAUCGGAUCAGUGUGAGAGGUUAUGUGAAAUCAUACAAUAUAUCUAUGUCACAUGAGCUCACUUUUAUGUGAAGGUUUAUCUGCCUAUUGUAUAUGAUGAGAUGUGCAUAUUCGGUAAAGGGAUGAUAUGCCUGAAGGAAGAGGGAAAAAAAUACGAACAACUAUGUUAUGAUUUGAUUGUUAUCUGUUGACACUGCUUAAAACUUACUAAGCAUUAUAAUGCUUACUCCGUUUAUUUUGUUUUCUCUGUUUUAUAGAUCUCAUUGCGAAGCUACAGGCUCGGGGAUCGUCAGCAACUAGUCACACUAUCACUAUCCACUGUUUGGUACUGCUAUGUUUUGGAUUAUCUUAUGGCAUGUAUAAAAUAGACUAGUGGUGGAAGAAUAUUUUGGUUAAUGUAUAUAAGCCAUGCGAAAAUGGCAUCUUUUGAAUGUUUACUUAGAGAAGUUUAAAUUUUAUCCCUGGCUGUGCUUAGUACUUAUCUAAAUGAAUGACCUUUAUUUCAAGAAAAAGUUCAAAAUUUUACGGUUCUGACAUGAGUUACAAGCCCGGUAAUGCCCCUUACCUAUUCCGGCGACGGUCACGGGAUAGGGGUGUUACAUUUUAUUGGUAUCAGAGCUACGGUUUAGUCGAUUCUAGGACUAACGUAGCACGCGUGAGUCUAUUUAUACAUGCCAUAAAGUGAUAAAAUGAUAGUGUGAUGAUUUUUGACUAUUAAAAUAUGUUUUCUGUAACGUAAUGAAUCUUGAUCCCGAGCGAGCUGUAGCAAGCUUCUGACUAUGAGAAUUUGCGAUAUAACUUCACUUAGAUAUGCCUGAAUUAUUAAGUUGAUCAGGUGCGUAUCAUGUACUCGUAUUUGAAUUUCGAUUUGGAUUGAAUUAUAAGGGUAUAAGUGAUGCAAUUUUGAAGGAGUGUUAUGACUAUAAAUGUGAUUUUUGUAUGUGGCUAUGGAACUGGAAGUUGAAUGGUCGAUAAGCAUGUUGUGUUUGUAUUCAAGUAAUGUAAAUGAUAUACUAAUGUGUAUUGCUAUAUGUGUAUAUGUACAUGAGAAUUGAGAGUGAUGUAUCCGGGCUAAGUCCUGAAGAGCAUUCGUGCUAGUGAUGUAUCCGGGCUAAGUCCCGAAGAGCAUUCGUGCUAGUGAUGUAUCCGGGCUAAGUCUCGAAGAGCAUUCGUGCUAGUGAUGUAUCCGGGCUAAGUCUCGAAGAGCAUUCGUGCUAGUGAUGUAUCCGGGCUAAGUCUCGAAGAGCAUUCGUGCUAGUGAUGUAUCCGGACUAAGUUCCGAAGAGCAUUCGUGCUAGUGAUAUAUCUGUGCUAAACCCCGAAGAGCAUUCCUGCUAGUGUUAUAUCAGAGUUAAGUCCCGAAGAGCAAUCAUGCUGGUGACGUGUAUUCGGGCCUUCGUGCCUAGUAGGCUUCGUGCCGGUAAUUUGAGCAAAGUUUAAGUGUUCAUUACUAUGCGAAUUCAAAGUUAAAUGAAAGGAUAUGUUUAAAGGUGUACAUACAUGAUGUUUAUAGACUUGGUUAAGUCAUUUCAAUGUGUAACAACAAACGAAUAAGGGCACUAUGUGUGCAAAUAAUUAGAGGCACUGAGAGUGCAAGUUCUUCAACCGAGCACUAUGCGUGCGAGAUCGGUCAGUAGACAUUAAGUGAGUAAAACAAGAUUCAUGUAAGACCUCGUAUGGAACGAAGGCAUUGAUUUAGGAUGGUGGAUAUGUUGUUAAGAAAUGAAUUCAUGUUAUAAAUGUGUUACAGAUUUAGUUUAUGGAAUGCUUGGUAUAUGAAGUCAUAUGUGCUAUUGCUAAAUGACCCCUAUUUUUGUUAAUCACAUUCAAGAAAUUGUUUCGAUUAAGUUCGACAUUUGAAAGUCUGUAAGAAUUUUUGAUGAAUGUUGAUAAUUUUGGAUAUAUGGGUUAUGUGCUAGAAUAAAUCCCAUGCCGGUAUAAUAUAUGAGGCUUUAUGCCAAAUCGAUUAUAUACGGGUAUCGUUAACGGUGAUUGAAUGUGCUAAAUGAAUUCAAUGUUCAGGUAUGUGGAAGUUGAUUUUCUGUUGGAAAUAGGUUAAGUUGAAUAGUGAGAGAUGAUGGAGUUAUAAAGGAUAUUUAUUGGGAUGUUCGAGUAUAUGUGUACUUUCGGUCAGGUUACAGCUUAUACAUGAAUGGAAAUGUGGGUUAAAAAUACGUGGGUUGAUGAUGUGAAUUAUACAUGUUAAUAUGUGCUUAAUAUGUGUUUGAAAUGCAUUUGUGAAUUAAAUUAAGUGAUUAUUGCUUAUGAAAUCAAGAAAAUGAGAUAUAUGUGCAUACCUGUAGAAAUAGUUAUGUAUUUGUUUUAAGAUAAGAAAAUGAUCUUUUAGAUCGAUGCAAAAUCAGUAAUGAAUUACAAUUGCUAUCGAUGAGCUAAUGUUUAUAUGGAUAUAAUCCAAUAAGAGGCCGUUAUCCUAUUUGCCGGUAAGAUUUUCGGGGACGAAAAUCCCUAAAGGGAGGGAGAGUUGUGACAGCCCUAAACUGACCCUAGUCGAAAAGUGGUUUCGGGACCACGAAACCGAGCCCUAUAAGAAAUUAAAAGAUAUAUUCCAUGUUUAUAAUGUGAGUAAAUGCAUGUGUGAAAGUUUCAUGCAUUAAUUUGAUUAUUUUUAUGUGAAUUUAGUUAAAAAGGACUUAUGUGAAAAAUAUUAAAAUUGUGGUAGGUUGAAGUGUAGUGGUCAAAUAUUGCAUGGCUUAAAAUAUGGGGAUUUGCAUGUCAAAUUCCCCAUUUUUAUGUAAGUGGCCGGCCAUGCUUUGAAUGGAAUUAUUGUUUUUUUUGUAUUUUAAUUGUAAAAUAAAGCUUAGUGGAAUGUUAUUAUAAUGGUGAAUUAAAUAAUAAAAGAAUUUGGUGAAAAGAACAAGGUAGCUCUUUUGUGUUCUUUUUAGCCAAAAAUCAAAUAAGAGAGGGGAGAAAAGUCUAAAACCAUUCGGCACUUUGAUAUUCUUCAUGAGGUGAGUUUCUUGAUUAAAAUUUGAUGGAAAUUUGAUGUUUUUGGGAUGGAUGUUAAGCUAGUUAGGCAACCAAAGGUUCAAUAUUUUUUUGUUAUGUGGUUAUAUGUGCAUUUCGGCCAUGGUCUUUGCUUGAAUUUGAGAUUUGUAAUGUGAUUUUCCUAAAUUGUCUAUGAAUUUUUGGUUGUUAAUUUCAUGGUAAUGGUAUAUUGAAUCCAUGAUUUGAAUCCAUGAAAAUUUAGUAAGGUUGCAUUCGGCAACUUGCUUGGAAUUAUGAAAUGAUGUCCAAAAUUUGUAAUUCAUGCUUAAAUAUUGAAAUAGAGCUUACAAUUAAUAGAACCAUGUAAUAAUUGAGGAUUUUAUGUGUUAAAUUUUGGAUGUUGGAGUUUUAGCUUUGAAAUAGUUGUUAGAUGAGUUAUAAAGUACUAAAAAAUGGAAAGAGAAAGAGCUUAAGGCAUGGUUAGUAUUCGGCCAUGAUGAGAAGUAAGAAAAUGAAUGUUGUGGUUGAGAUGAUUGAGGUGGUGAUCUCGAAGCUAAGUGAUUAUCGGCUAGGGUGUUAUGUAUAUUUAAGUGCCGAGUGUGGACAAAAACAUUUAGUAGAAUAAUUGUUAAUUAUAUGCUUGAGUGUACGGUUUGUAAGAAGUAAAUUUAUGGAUAAGCUUGAUAGAUGUUGUUGAGGCUAAUUUAAGAGCUUUGUGGCAUAUAAUCCUUAGAAAAAUUAUGUUUGUGGUUAUAAAAGAUUUUGGGCAUUCGGCUACUCGAGGAAAGAUGAGAGACAUGCUUAUAUGCUUAUAUGCGUAUUACCUAACAAGAUUGUGAAUAAUAAUACUAAUAAAAUAGUUUGUAAGUAAUUAAUAAGGGUUUUUGACAUAGAUACUUGUAAAUAAGACAAAUGCUACAUAUUUGGAACCCUUACAUGGUAUUUCGGCUUUAGUUAAUUAUUUUAGAAAUUGAAGCUAAAUGUUAUAAGGAAUAAGUGUAUUUCUUGCUAACUGAAUUAUAAUAUAAUCGAAUGUGGUUUUACACAAUAGUGAUGUGAUAAGUUUAAAUUUGGUUCAUUAGCUCAAGAACUCAAGGAAACAAAGUCGGAUCGUGGAAAAAGGGAAAUUGGUCGAAUAUUCGGAAUUGACGUACAUUAGCGAUCGAGGUAAGUUUUAAGUAUUAAAGCCAAUAAUGUGAUUGAGUAUGAUAUGUUAAGCACAUAUUAAAAGAAUCAUAACUCUAUUGUAAAUUUUUAUGCAUAUAUCCUAAUGGCUAUUAUGAAGUAUAGGUAAGUUAUUGAUAUGAUAUGUUGCCAAAUGGAUAUGAUAUUAUGAAGUGCUAAAAGGAUAUGUCAGAAGAGUAAAUUUGUGAUAAACCUGCUUAGGACAGCAGCAGUAACAUGAAUUUAGAAAAUCACCAUAAAUUGUUGGAGUUGAAUUAGAGGCUGAAUAAAUUAUAAAAUUAAAACUUAAUGAGUCUAGUUUCUUAUAAAAGAAACCGUGUAAGAAAAUUUAUUUCCGAUAAUGAGAUAUUUAAAGUUGGGUGAGACAGUGCAGAAUGACACUGUAAUCCUCUGUUCUGUUUUUAGAAAAUCAUUAUAAAUUGUAAAAAAAAUUUUAAAAGACAAAAUUUAUUUUCUAGAUUACUUAGUGAGUCUAGUUUCAAAUGAAAUAAACAAGAACAUAUUUUGAAUUUUGUACAGUUGGAAAUUUGAUUUGUAGUGAAGAGUGGUCAAAAUAGUCAAACAGUGAAACAGGGGAAUGUUUAAGAAAAAUCUGGUAUUGAUUGGCCAAACCUAAAAUUCUGAAAAUUUUAUGGAUAUAAUAUAUACGAGUCUAUAUUCAGGAAAAAUUAUUGGCAAGUGAUUUGGAGUUUUGUAGAUUCGAUUAUAAAUAAUUUAGUGACCAUUGCUCAGGAAAAUAGCUCGUAGUGAAAAUGUGAUUUUGUUGUAAACAUGGAUAAAACUUGUUUUAGUUGCUCAUAAGCUAUUGAUUCAACCCAUACUUGAAUUCUAAAUCGUGAUAUUGUAAGCUUAUGAGUAUUCGAAUAUGAAAUGAUAGUAUGGCGUAAAAUUGAAUUAUUCAUUGGAAAGUGAUGGAUGUAGAUUCGGCCAAGACCAAGUCUGUACAUGAUAGUAUAUGUGGUAUGUGAAGUAUAUUUGAAUAAAUGUGAAAGUGUAUAUAUGUGAUAAGGCCUAAUGGCCGAUGUGAUGAAUGUGAAAGUGUAUAUAUGUGAUAAGGCCUAAUGACCGAUGUGAUGAAUGUGAAAGUGUAUAUAUAUGUGAUAAGGCCUAAUAGCCGAUGUGAUGAAUGUGAAAGUGUAUAUAUGUGAUAAGGCCUAAUGGCCGAUGUGAUGAAUGUGAAAGUGUAUAUAUGUGAUAAGGCCUAAUAGCCGAUGUGAUGAAUGUGAAAGUGUAUAUAUGUGAUAAGGCCUAAUAGCCGAUGUGAUGAAUGUGAAAGUGUAUAUAUAUGUGAUAAGGCCUAAUGGCCGAUGUGAUGAAUGUGAAAGUAUAUAUGUGAUAAGGCCUAAUGGCCGAUGUGAUGAAUGUGAAAGUGUAUAUAUGUGACAGGGCCGAGUGGCCAACGUGAUGGAUGUGAAAGUGUAUAAAUGUGAUAAGUCCCGAAGGGCAUUUGUGUCAGUACUAUAUCCGGUUUAAAACCCCGCAGGCUUUAUGCGAGAAUAUUAUCACUGAUUAAUGUCCGUAAGCUUCGUGCUCGUACUAUAUCCGAGCUCUAAAGACCCGAUGACUACGUAUGGAGAUUAUGUCCGGGUAAGACCCGAUGACUACGUGUGGGGAUUUUGUCCGGGUAAGACUCGAUAACUUCGUGUGGAGAUUUCGUCUGAGCUAAAGGUCUAACCGAUAAUCCGAGUAGAGGUUAAAGCUAUAAGACUUCGUAAUAAGAAUUGCUUAUAAAUAUGUUCAAUGCGAAAUGUUAUACAGGUAUGUACUCCAAGUUUAUAUGUGAGCUUGAUUUGAACUAAAUCAUAAGGUAGUUAUGUGAUGCAUACGAGAGAAAUCUAUGAGACUAUUCCUAUGAUUAUGUGACAUCGGAUCAGUGUGAGAGGUUAUGUGAAAUCAUACAAUAGAUCUAUGUCACAUGAGCUCACUUUUAUGUGAAGGUUUAUCUGCCUAUUGUAUAUGAUGAGAUGUGCAUAUUCGGUAAAGGGAUGGUAUUCCUGAAGGAAGAGGGAAAAAAAAUACGAACAACUAUGUUAUGAUUUGAUUGUUAUCUGUUGACACUGCUUAAAACUUACUAAGCAUUAUAAUGCUUACUCUGUUUAUUUUGUUUUCUCUGUUUUAUAGAUCUCAUUGCGAAGCUAAAGGCUCGGGGAUCGUCAGCAACUAGUCACACUAUCACUCUCCACUGUUUGGUACUGCUAUGUUUUGGAUUAUCUUAUGGCAUGUAGAAAAUAGACUAGUGGCGGAAGAAUAUUUUGGUUAAUGUAUAUAAGCCAUGCGAAAAUGGCAUCUUUUGAAUGUUUACUUAGAGAAGUUUAAAUUUUAUCCCUGGCUGUGCUUAGUACUUAUCUAAAUGAAUGACCUUUAUUUUAAGAAAAAGUUCAAAAUUUUACGGUUCUGACAUGAGUUACAAGCCUGGUAAUGCCCCUUACCUAUUCCGGCGACGGUCACGGGAUAGGGGUGUUACAUUUUAUUGGUAUAACUGGUACAUUUUUGGUUUCUACCAUGCCGUAUACUGCUUUGGUGGAUGUUGGAUCUACUCAUUCCUAUGUUGCAUGUGCCAUAUCUGGGUCGUUGGGUGUGCACUCUGAGGAGAUUGUGAGUGGAGUAUUUGUACUAAGUGCUUUGGGUCACUCGGUUAGGGUAGAAAAACUGUAUAGGGAUGUACCCUUAGAAACUCAAGGUAGGACUUUCCCUGGAGAUCUGAUAGAGUUACUGUUCGGAGAGUUUGAUCUCAUUUUGGGAAUGGACUGGCUUGUUAAGCAUAAAGCGACUCUGGAUUGUGCUGCUAAACGAAUGGUGUUAAGGAUCGCAAAGGAUGAGGAGGUUAUGGUGAUAGGUGAGCGAAGGCAUUAUGUGUCCAAUGUGGUGUCGGCUUUAAGAGCCGAAAAGUGGAUUCGGAAAGGUUGUGAGGCCUAUUUGAAAUUUGUAAGUCAGUCAGAUUAGGAGGGACUGAUAAUGUAUAAGGUUAGGACCGUAAAGGAGUUCCAAGAUGUUUUUCCGGAGGAGCUUCCAAGAUUGCCUAUGAACCGAGAAGUUGAGUUUGGAAUAGAUUUGUUGCCUGGAACAGCGCCCUUGUCCAUCGCACCGUAUAGGAUGGCACCGAAGGAGUUAGUGGAGUUAAAGGCUCAAAUUCAAGAGUUGUUGGAGAGGGGCUUCAUUAGGCCAAGCGUGUCUCUAUGGGGAGCACCAGUGCUAUUCGUGAAAAAGAAGGAUGGUACGAUGCAGAUAUGCAUUGAUUAUCGCCAGUUGAACAAACUGACGAUUAAAAAGAAGUAUCCACUACCAAAGAUUGACGAUCUGUUCGACCAGCUUAGAGGAGCUUCUGUAUUUUCUAAGAUCGACCUCCAAUCUGGAUAUGAUCAGUUAAGGGUCAAGGAGGCGGAUAUCCAUAAGACGGCAUUCAGGACUCGGUAUGGUCAUUACGAGUUUUUAGUUAUGCCAUUUGGACUGACGAACGCUCCUGCAGCAUUUAUAGAUCUGAUGAAUCGGGUGUUCCAACCAUUCUUGGAUCGAUUCGUAGUCGUCUUCAUUGAUGAUAUCCUGGUAUAUUCUGAAACUGAAGGGAAACAUGAUGAGCAUCUCCGUAUAGUGCUGCGAGUGUUAAGGGAGAAGAAACUCUUUGCGAAGUUCAGCAGGUGUGAAUUUUGGUUGAGGGAGGUAACCUUCUUAGGACAUGUGGUCUCUGCCGAAGGGAUUAAGGUAGACCCUCGAAAGAUUGAAGCAAUUUUGGAGUGGAAGCCACCUAGGACGGUGUCGGAAAUUCGAAGUUUCCUAGGGUUGGCAGGAUACUACAGAAGGUUUGUGGAAGGUUUUUCUGUGAUGGCAGCACCCCUGACAAAACUCAUAAGGAAAGGAGUACCGUUUGUAUGGACUAAGAAGCAGCAGGAAGCUUUUGAGAAGUUGAAGAAAGUUCUGACUAAAGCACCUGUGUUAAUUCAGCCGGAGUCUGGGAAGGAUUUUAGUGUGUACAGUGACGCAUCACACGUGGGUUUGGGCGCGUGUUAAUGCAAGAGGGUAAGGUGGUUGCAUAUGCAUCACGAUAGCUUAAGCCUCAUGAGGGGAACUAUCCGACUCAUUAUUUAGAGUUGGCAGCAGUGAUAUUUGCACUUAAGAUUUGAAGAUAUUACUUGGACGAAGAAAGGUGUAUUAUAUACACUGACCAUAAGAGUCUUUAGUAUUUGUUGACUCAGAAGGAGCUGAACCUUAGGAAAAGGAGAUGGAUUGAGUUACUUAAGGAUUAUGACUGUUCGAUCGAGUAUCACCCAGGCAAGGCUAAUGUGGUAGCCGAUGCUCUAAGUCAUAGAGUUGUAUCUGAUCUGGGAGCAAUGUUUGCUCAUCUGAGUCUGUAUGAUGAUGGAAGUCUGUUGGCUGAGUUACAAGUGAGGCCAACCUGGGUGGAUCAGAUUAAGGAAAAGUAGUUGAACGAUGAGUCUUUGGUCGCUCGUUUCCAACAAGUUAAGGAAGGGGAAACUUCUGAGUUUGGGUUAAAUGGCAAAGGAGUUCUGUGUUUCCGAUGAAGAAUUUGUGCUCCGAAGGACUCUGAUUUGAGGUACACAAUAUUGAAGGAAGCUCAUGGAGGACUUUAUGCCAUGCAUCCUGGAGGGAACAAGUUGUAUCACGACUUGCGAGAAUUGUACUGGUAGCCUGGACUUAAACGAGAAGUAACGGAGUUUGUAGGGAAAUGUUUGACAUUCCAGCAAGUGAAAGCUAAGCAUCAAUUACCUUCUGGACUGUUGCAGCCAGUGAAGAUACCACUUUGGAAGUGAGAGAGGGUAACCAUGGACUUUGUGAGUGGGCUGCCCUUGACACCAUCGAAGAAAGACUCGGUGUGGGUGAUUAUGGAUAGGUUGACCAAAUCAGCCCAUUUCAUACCUGUACGUACUGACUUUUCACUUCAAAAGUUAGCCAAGCUGUAUGUGGCGGAGAUUGUAAGACUUCAUGGAGUCCGAGUUUCGAUUGUCUCUGACCGGGAUCCCAGAUUCACAUCUCGAUUUUGGUAAAAGUUGCAUGAGGCGUUGGGGAUGCGAUUGAACUUUAGUACGGCUUUCCAUCCCCAAACUGAUGGUCAGUCAGAGAGGGUUAUUCAAAUUCUAGAGGACACAUUGAGGGGAUGCGUGAUUAACUUUCGAGGUAGUUGGGAGGAUUACUUGCUGUUGGCAGAAUUUGUGUACAAUAAUAGUUACCAGGUGAGUAUUCGAAUGGGAUCGUAUGAAGCACUGUAUGGACGAAGGUGUCGUACACCUAGUUGUUGGACUGAACUAGGGGAGCGACAAAUUCUUGGACCAGAGUUGGUAGCUGAUACUGAGGAUAAGGUCAGAAUAAUUAGGGACUGGUUAAAAGAAGCAUCUGAUAGGCAAAAGUCGUAUGCAGAUUUGAAGCGUAAGGAGAUUGAGUACUCAGUAGGUGAUAUGGUCUUCUUAAAGGUUUCUCCUUGGAAGAAGAUAUUAAGGUUCGGUAAGAAGGGCAAGUUGAGUCUGCAGUUCAUUGGGCCUUAUCGAGUUUUGAAGCGAGUAGGCCCAGUGGCUUAUCAGUUGGAAUUGCCUCCAGAGUUAGACAGGAUUCACGAUGUUUUUCACGUCUCCAUGUUAAGGCGUUAUCAUUCUGACCCUGCUCAUGUCCUGCCAGUUUCAAAAAUUGAAGUUCAGACUGAUUUGACUUUUGAGGAGGAGCCUAUGCAAAUAUUGGCUCGAGAUGUUAAGGUUCUCAGAAGGAAAUCUGUCCCGUCAGUGAAAGUGCUUUUGGCGUAAUCAUGGAAGGGAAGAAGCUACUUGGGAACCAGAAGAGACUAUGCGUCAACAAUACCCUUAACUAUUUGGAUCAGGGAAAUUUCGAGGUCGAAAUUUCUUUAAGGGGGUAGAGUAGUAGCGCCCCAAUUUUUGGGAAUUCUGUGAAUGUUGGUAAAAUUUCAUGCUUCGAUUUUGUCAUUUGGGAGUGAAAUUAUGAAAUAGGACCUAUGUGAAAAUGUUUGAAAAUGCUAUAGGCUAAUUUGUAGUGACCAAAUAAAUAGUAGUGCAAAAUAGGAGGAUUUGCAUGUCAAACCUCCUAUUUUACAAGAAGUGGGCGGCCAUCAUGUUGUUCAAUACAAUAUGUGCACUUUAUAUCCAUAAUUUAUGGUACAAAUUGAUAAAAAUUGAUAAUGGGUUAGGUAAAUGUUCCAUGAUAAUGGGUUAGGUAAAUGUUCCAUGAUGGGCAUUUCAUGUCUUUUGUAUUAAAGAAUUAAAUGGAUGAAAUAUGAAAUUUUAUUAAAAGAAAAAGGGGUGAAAAGAACAAAGCUUGGUCCAUCUUUGUUCAUCAUAGCCGAAAGUUAGAGAAGAGAAAGGAGAGGAGAAAGCUCUUGAAUGUUCGGUCACUUGGGGAAGAAAAUUGAAGGCGGUUCGUGUGUGGAUCUCGUCAGCAUAUCAUCCCAAACAGGUGUGUAACUAACACCCUAUUAUAGACUAGAUCGGUACAAGCCGAAAAGCCGAAAUACUGAAAAGCUGAUAUUUUGAGAUCUUGCGAGUGUGUGAAUGCUCAUGAGAUUAAUAGUUUGAUGUAUAUGGUAAAUUAAAGUGAUAAGACUGCAGAGUGCGUGAUUCUGUGCAUUUCGAUAUUUUUGGGCUUAAUGGGCCAAAAACGGGAUAACGGGCCAACGGGCCCAAAUUGGUAAGAAAAUGCGGUAAGUGUUUCUGAUCGUACGUAAAUGGCUAUGUUAUGUAUGAAAACCUUAAGAAUAGUUAAAUUACUUGAAUACCCCUAUGUAUGCAAAAUUACCAUUAUACCCCCAGGGUUACUUUUGACUGAAAAGCAUGACGAUCUGAUUCUGUAUGAUGUAUGCCAUGAUUAUAUAUCUGUUGUAUGGGGACUUGGGUUAUACUAUGGAGGAAGCGUCCUGGUGGCUAUGCCACAAUUAUCUGAUCUGGUGGCUCUACCACAUAUAUCUGUCCUGGUGGCUAUGCCACAAUUAUUGAUCUGGUGGCUCUGCCACAUAUAUCUGUUCUGGUGGCUCUGCCACAAUAUCUGUAUCUGGUGACUUCGUCACAAUAUCUGGCAGCCUCGCUGCGAUUUCUGUGGUGUGUAGCGGUUGGGUGGGUCGAGUAGUCUCCCCAUAUUGCGUAAGGCUGGUACGGGGGUGUUAUGGAUGAAUCUGGGUUGGGUUUCUACAUAAAUAUGUAAUAUCUGUUCUGUUCUGUUUUAGGCCUAUGGGCUUUAUUCUGAAUUCUGUUCUGGGCUAAGGCCAACUUAUUCUAUUUUUGUGGUUUGAGCUAAUAUAGGCUAUGGUUGGGUUAAUUUACACACUGAGUUUCCCCAAACUCACCCCUUUUAUUUUCAUCCACGCAGGUAAUCCCCAACCAUAGUGGGCUUGGAGCUAUGAGGGAAUUCGGAGUGGCCACCCGUUCUGAAAGUUUGAUUUUCUUCUGGUGAACUAGACAUCAUUUUAUUUACAUUUGAAGUUUUGGGUUUUUAAGUUGUAAUAAGGCCGCUUGAUUAUUUUUGAUGGUUUUAAUAUGUAUUACUAAGAUAGGUAUUACUUAUUUUAACUGUUGAAAUUGGAUAGCUUUAGGGCCCGUUUUCAAAAACAAUAAUUGAUUUCAAAAUAACCCGACAACAAGCAAAGCUUCCGCAAUGAAAGUAUUUUCAAAAAUUAAUCACUUUUCCUAAAAAUGACUUAAUCAAAUCAGUUUCCUAGAAAUAUCCAUGACGUU